rnacentral:misc_RNA from 1 species
GAAAUGCGAUACUUGGUGUGAAUUGCAGAAUCCCGUGAACCAUCGAGUCUUUGAACGCAAGUUGCGCCCGAAGCCAUUCGGCCGAGGGCACGUCUGCCUGGGCGUCACGCAUCUCGUCGCCACCCCAGCUCCAUUGCGAGCAUGGCGUGUGGCGGAAGCUGGCCUCCCGUUCCCCUAGCGGCGCGGAUGGCCCAAAUGCGAGUCCUCGGAUAAGGGACGUCACGACUACAGGUGAUUGAACUAGCUUUCAUUUUGCUCUCGUGUCCUGACGGCCCCCGGCGGAACACAUAGACCCUAGAGCCCCUCCCGUCCCGUGCUCUACGAGCGCGGGCGCGGGCGGAGCCUUCGACCGCGACCUCAGGUCAGGCGGGGCUACCCGCUGAGUUUAA